rnacentral:rRNA from 1 species
UACGAAGGGUGCAAGCGUUACUCGGAAUUACUGGGCGUAAAGCGUGCGUAGGUGGUUUGUUAAGUCUGAUGUGAAAGCCCUGGGCCCAACCUGGGAAUUGCAUUGGAUACUGGCAAGCUAGAGUGCGGUAGAGGGUAGUGGAAUUCCCGGUGUAGCAGUGAAAUGCGUAGAGAUCGGGAGGAACAUCCGUGGCGAAGGCGACUACCUGGACCAGCACUGACACUGAGGCACGAAAGCGUGGGGAGCAAACAGG